rnacentral:rRNA from 1 species
CGGAGGGUGCAAGCGUUAUCCGGAUUCACUGGGUUUAAAGGGUGCGUAGGAGGGCAGGUAAGUCAGUGGUGAAAUCCCCGAGCUUAACUUGGGAACUGCCGUUGAUACUAUCAGUCUUGAAUAUUGUGGAGGUAAGCGGAAUAUGUCAUGUAGCGGUGAAAUGCUUAGAUAUGACAUAGAACACCAAUUGCGAAGGCAGCUUGCUACACAACUAUUGACUCUGAUGCACGAAAGCGUGGGGAUCAAACAGGAUUAGAUACCCUGGUAGUCCGACGCCCUAAACGAUGGAUACUCGACAUCAGCGAUACACAGUUGGUGUCUGAGCGAAAGCAUUAAGUAUCCCACCUGGGAAGUACGACCGCAAGGUUG